AAUCUUGCGCAAUGGGCGAAAGCCUGACGCAUCCAUGCCGCGUGAAUGAUGAAGGACUUAGGACUGUAAAAUUCUUUCACCGGUGACGAUACUGACGGUACCCGGAGAAGAAGCCCCGGCUAACUUCGGUCUAGCAGCCGCGGUAAUACGAAGUGGGCUAGCGUUGCUCGGAAUUACUGGGCGUAAAGGGCGCGUAGGCGGACAUUUAAGUCAGGGGUGAAAUCCCAGAGCUCAACUCUGGAACUGCCUUUGAUACUGGGUGUCUUGAGUGUGAGAGAGGUAUGUGGAACUCCGAGUGUAGAGGUGAAAUUCGUAGAUAUUCGGAAGAACACCAGUGGCGAAGGCGACAUACUGGCUCAUUACUGACGCUGAGGCGCGAAAGCGUGGGGAGCAAACAG
rnacentral:rRNA from 1 species